GAGGAUAUAGCUCAGUAGUAGAGUGAAUGACUAGCAUGCACAAGGUCUUGGGUUCAAUCCCCAGUACCUCCA
rnacentral:tRNA from 1 species